rnacentral:sRNA from 1 species
UUGGGCAGUAGCGGAGAUGAAGAAAAACCAGCACACUAGAUGGUAAAGGAGCAGCCAACAAGAUGCUCUUUACAAUUAUUUUUUAACUUCUAAAAAUAUCUCAUUGAGGAUUCCAUUCCAAGAUGGCCAAAUAGGAACAGCUCUGGUCUGCAGCUCCCAGUGUGAUUAAUGCAGAAGACAGAUAAUUUCUGCAUUUCCAACUGAGGUACCUGGUUCAUCUUACUAGGACUGGUUGGACAGUGGGUGCAGCCCACGGAGGGUGAGCCGAAGCAGGGCAGGGCAUCGCCUCACCUGGGAAGCGCAAGGAGUCUGGGGAUUUCCUUUUCCUAGCCAAGGGAAGCCGUGACAGAUGGUACCUGGAAAAACGGGACACUCCCGCCCAAAUACUGCGCUUUUCCAAGGUCUUACCAAACGGCACACCAGGAGAUUAUAUCCUGUGCCUGGCUCGGCGGAUCCUAUGCCCAUGGAGCCUUGCUCACUGCUAGUGCAACAGUCUGAGAUUGACCUGUGAGGCAGCAUCCUGGCACGGGGAGGGGCAUCCGCCAUUGCUGAGGCUUGAGUAGGUAAACAAAGUUGCUGUGGAAGCU